rnacentral:rRNA from 1 species
AAUACCGGAUAGCCUCUCGAGCUCUCGGGCUUGAGAGGAAAGGUAGCUUCGGCCUCCGACCGAGGAGAAGCCCGCGGCGGAUUAGCUUGUUGGUGGGGUAAUGGCCCACCAAGGCGACGAUCCGUAGCUGGUCUGAGAGGACGAUCAGCCACACUGGUACUGAGACACGGCCCAGACUCCUACGGGAGGCAGCAGUGGGGAAUCUUGCGCAAUGGGCGAAAGCCUGACGCAGCGACGCCGCGUGAGGGAAGAAGGCCUUCGGGUUGUAAACCUCUUUCAGCAGGGACGAAGCCACUCAGGUUAAUAGCCGAGAGGGUGACGGUACCUGCAGAAGAAGCCCCGGCUAACUACGUGCCAGCAGCCGCGGUAAUACGUAGGGGGCAAGCGUUGUCCGGAUUUAUUGGGCGUAAAGAGCGUGUAGGCGGUUAGAUAGGUCUGCUGUGAAAACUCCAGGCUCAACCUGGAGACGUCGGUGGAAACCAUCUAGCUAGAGUCCGGAAGAGGAGAGUGGAAUUCCUGGUGUAGCGGUGAAAUGCGCAGAUAUCAGGAAGAACACCCGUGGCGAAGGCGGCUCUCUGGGACGGUACUGACGCUGAGACGCGAAAGCGUGGGGAGCGAACAGGAUUAGAUACCCUGGUAGUCCACGCCGUAAACGAUGGGUGCUAGGUGUGGGGGGUGUCGACUCCCUCCGUGCCGAAGCUAACGCAUUAAGCACCCCGCCUGGGGAGUACGGCCGCAAGGCUAAAACUCAAAGGAAUUGACGGAAUCGAAUU